AGACCGAUAGCGAACAAGUAGAGUGAUCGAAAGAUGAAAAGCACUUUGGAAAGAGAGUUAAAAAGCACGUGAAAUUGUUGAAAGGGAAGCGCUUGCAACCAGACUCCGCGGCGGUGUUCCGCCGGUCUUCUGACCGGUCCACUCGCCGCCGUGGGGCCAUCAUCGUCUGGGGCCGUCGGAUAAGACCGUAGGAAUGUGGCUCCCUCGGGAGUGUUAUAGCCUGCGGUGAUGCGACGCGCCCCGGGCGAGGUCCGCGCUUCGGCAAGGAUGAUGGCGUAAUGGUUGCCAGCGGCCCGUCUUGAAACACGGACCAAG
rnacentral:rRNA from 1 species